GCAGGCCUAACACAUGCAAGUCGAGCGCUUACCUUCGGGUAGGAGCGGCGGACGGGUGAGUAACGCGUAGGAAUCUACCCAGUAGUGGGGGAUAGCCCGGGGAAACUCGGAUUAAUACCGCAUACGCCCUACGGGGGAAAGGCCGGGAUCUUCGGACCGGUCGCUAUUGGAUGAGCCUGCGUUGGAUUAGCUAGUUGGUAGGGUAAAGGCCUACCAAGGCGACGAUCCAUAGCUGGUCUGAGAGGAUGAUC
rnacentral:rRNA from 1 species